CGGUAACCUGUUGUGGACAGAUGUAAUGGACGUGUGCGUCGACAGCACCGGCGGUCACGAUGAGCUUCUCGCCUGCGAUCACCUCCGUGGCCGAGCCGACCACUAAACGCGGGUCCACGCCGGCCAUGACGUCUGGGUUGCCGGCCUUGCCUAUGCCUGCGAUCACCCCGUUCUUGAUGCCGAUGUCCGCCUGCGAGGACGAGCAUUCAGCGACAGGUGUUCCGCAGCGUGCAGGGAAGCCAUACCUUGUAGAUGCCAGACCAAUCAAUGAUGAGCGCAUUCGUGAUGACCAAGUCCAGGGUCUCCGAGGCCGGUCGAUUCGUGGCUUGGCCCAUGCCCUCG
rnacentral:sRNA from 1 species